CAUCUCGGGGAUGAUCAGGGUGGACAGUGACAAAUUGAAAGCGGCGGUCAUAUACUCGACUCCCGCAGGUCCUAGCUUUUUCAGCAUCUGCAUGGAAAUUCCGUCUGGUCCUAACGCCUUGGAUGACUUGGCGUGGUUGACAGCUGCCUGCGUCUCUUCGGUGGUAAAGCACAGUGGUGUGUCUCGGGGGCGGAGUUUGUAAAUCUUGUUCCGA